ensembl:lincRNA
AGUCCAAAUUCUAACUCUUGUGAAACUGCAGACACAACCCUCUGAGGGAAGCGGUGGUUUUGUUUCUGGUUGUUCUGUAAUUGGUUUUGGGAUUUGGAGCAAGAGAAGCCACUAAUACAAACACUGAAACAUAAUAAUUCUGGUUUCUUGGGAUAUAGGCAUAAUCACGUAACAAGAUUUUCGUAUUACUGGGGACUAGGAAAACAUUUGGCUUAUUGCGUGACAAUCAGAUACUUGGUGAAAGAAGACACAUGAUUAUCUACUAAUAUACUAUGAUCUGUCGUGAUCUGCUGUAUAUCAUAGGAUUCAAAGAAGAAGGAGGAAGAGAUGGAGAAAGAGAAGAUGAACCCAGUCCUCAAGCAGUUGCCACCAAGUAGGAGGCUUGUUGAGACAUUGCAUGAGCAGAGGAAGAAGCUUCCUUUCUAAGGGCAGCAAGAUCUCUCAUGGUGGCCGGUCUCCCUCAUCCUUCUGGCUCAGCAAGAACUUGGGAAAGAAGAUCAAUGCAGUGGCACUUCCAUAUGCAGACAUAAGCUGGGAUUCCAAGAAGAACAGAGAUGAUCCACUAAAAUAAUUUUUUUUGGCUCUGCUGGGUCUUUGUUGCUUCUCUGGUUUUGGUGUGCGGGCUCAGUAGUUGCCUCAGGAGAGGCGUGUGUGGAUCUCCGUUUCCCGACCAGGGAUCAGACCUAUGUCCCCUGCCUUGGAUGGCAGUUUGUUCACCACUGGACCACCAGGGAAGUCCCAAGAACAAUGAUGUUCCUGUUGCAAACUGAUGGAAUCUGACAUCUAAGUUCUUCUCUGUUCCCAUAGAAUCUAUAUUAAUUAUUCAGUUCUUCGGUGAAAGUUUUGAAACAUCAGUGGUAUUAUCUCGCUGCAAAAGAGAACCUCAGAAGAGAAUUCAAACUGGACCAUAGACACUUUUGAGAAAUAGCCCUUCAGAAGAACACAGGUCACUUUAGUGUUCAAUCUCAAUGAGCAGUUUAGAAAGUAAACAGUAGAACCUAUUCUCCGCUAGGAUAGGUUGUAAAGUCCUUGUGGACUGAAUAUAUCUUUCUUAUUUACUCUUGCAACCCCUGUACUUAACACAGUGACUGGAAAAUAGUAAAUGCUUACUGACUAAAUAAAUAAAUUAUUUAUUUAUACCUUGCUUUAUUUUUAAGAACUGACCAGCUAGAAAUAAGUAGGGCUAAAAAAAAGAAAAGAAAAAAAGACCUAAGGAAACACAAUGGAUCAUAAGUUACACUUAAGCACAAGUUAAAAAUUAAGAUGAUUCCUAAUGAAAGAGAGGAGUCAUUCACAUUUGAUGGUGAUUUCAUAGCACGCCUGACAACGAGAACAGGGAAGACAUUUGCUGGGAGCCAGCGUGAGGAAUCCCACCCAUGACAAGGUCACGAGGGAGGAAGCUGACAUACGCAAGGACGUGAUUAGACUUCAGGAGUUCCCCCUGUCAUUUCCUGAGCAUGUACCCCCAAAACCAAAAAUCUGCCAGCCUUUGUACUCUGCUUUUCCACUCUUCUGAUAUUCUCUGGAAAAAGUUAAAUCAGGGCUUUAGUCCUCUGCAUUUGAAAGGGAUGUUUCAGUUAAACCCCCUCUGAUAGCUCUCUAGCUUGCCUAACCUUCCGGACCUCUUACAGCUUGUGAAUUGCUUACAGCCCCCCAACCGCGAGAGGCACAAAGCUUAAAAGCAUCUUAAAGAUACAGAGCCUUUUCUAAAGAGCUAAAAAUCAUAUUGGUAGAGGGUUUUCACUGUUGACUCAAUGACUGCUGCCAGGUCUCCAUAUUCUUUA